AUCUCGUAAUCUCUAGACCAUCUCUAGCUAUACUCUAUUCGCCACAUCGCUUCGCUUACUCGAUUCAUCCCUUAUUCGCUUUGCAAUACCAUUCCGACUUUCUGACGUCUUCGAGCGUACACGUCUCGUCCAAAUCCUUUACGAGAAUAAGAUAAUACUAUAGUCACUAAACAAUAUAUCGCAUAUACAUAUCACGUAUAUCGAUACCCACUUAUAUAUCCCUUUAAACUUAUCAGAUACCACGUAACACAUAAGCAUGCUUUGACUCUAACAUAUAGUCAAUCAUAUUCCACAUAACAUAUCACCAAUCAAUUAUCAUAUAAAUCCUUAUCGAAAAUCCGACAUCGUCUCGUCUAUGUAUAAGACUAUCCACCUGUUAUCCUAUCUCAAUCAUUAAUCAACCAACAAAAUCCAAUAACUAUAAUCCAUAUAUUCUUAUCCAAUAUCAAUCAUACGAAUCAUUUAUCACUUCACAAUAUCAAAACUAACACGUACUUCACAUAAUCAUCACUUGAUAGCACUUAGAUCACAUAUUAUCACAUUAUGCAUACUUAUCAACAAUUAUUCACCUUAUAGACUCAGCCAUAUAGUCACAUCAUAUUAAAAUAGACGUUAUAAGCUUCUGUCUCUCUUUCGUUUCACUUGAUUCCGACUUACGGAUCAAAAGUUAUGCUCAAAACAGUUUUCUCACUCUCCUAUCGGCACAUAACACAUCCAACCAAUAGCAGACAACACACAACACAUAAGGUUUCCCAUCCCAAUUGAUAUUAAAUCAAGUCUUGGGUUAAAAAUGAUUUUUCGGGAAUUUUCUGGAAUUUUUAAACAUUUUUCGGAAUUAAAAUCGAUAAAAGAAUCACUUUUCGGAUAAAUAAUCAAGUCCCAAAUACUUGAAAUUGGACUUGAAAUCAUUCAUAAACAAUUAUCGAGCCUUGAAAAUAAUUUGGAAAAAUAUUUUAAAGCUCGAAACUAUUUUUCGGAAUUUUUAAAUCAAAAAGGAUUAAUUAAAUCCAAUUAAUUAACCAAUUAAAAUCAAUUAAUAAUUAAUUAAAAUAAUUAAUCAAUUAAUAUUUAAAUUAAUUGACCAAUUAAAAUAAUUAAUUACUAAUUAAAAUUAAUUAAUAAACUAAUUUAGAUUUAUUUUUUAAAUAAAGAAAUAAUUAAAAAUCAUUUUUGAAAUUUAAAAUAAUUAAAUAAAACAAUUUUUGAAAAUUAAAAUCAAAAGGUUUAAAGUGUAAAAUUUUGAAAGUUUUGUUCAGGGUUUAAAGUGUAACUUUCAGAAGUUACAGGGGCUGUUUCGUAAGUUUCAAAACCUCAGUACUCAAACUUCACCAUCUUCAUAAGUUGGGUGACCAAACGGCAAUUUGCCGCCGGCCACCACUAACUUCGCCGGAUUCGGCGUUCUUGGCGUCCAUUCGACACCAAAACCUCCAGAUAAACUCUAUAUGCUACCCACAACUCGUUUCUGAAAUCAAAAUCAUCAAACAAGGUCUAAAUUGGCCGUAAAAUCCGGCCAAAGUUCAUCCGCCGCCGGCGAGCUUUCAAGCUCCGGCGUGCUUUAAAAACGAAACCUCCCUACUUUUUGAGACCACCAAAUGAUUCCUCAUCUCCUAUUCUAUCUGUUUUCACCCUCCAUACAUCCCCAGAUUCAACCGUUUGCAAAGCCCCAAAAUCGAAUUGAAAACAUUCAAGAACACUCAAGAACACCCCUCAAGAAUCAAACCCACUUUUCUAGGUGUUAUGGAACUCAAAAAUCAACAUAUAAUAUACCAAAACGACGAGAAAAACAUGCUCUACAACAUGGAAUCAUCAAAACAAUCAAACAAACACGUUUGCAAAAAUUCACUAUUUAAAUCAUAAUAAUUCGAAUUUUAAAACUUCAAUUACUCCCUACCUGUGAAUCUCAUGUUGUUUUUGAUGAUUGAUUUGGGUUCUACUCUUCGAUAUCUUCGAUUUGACUAUUCGCACGCUUGAUUCUGACUCCAAUAACACCUUCAAAUCUUCGUUUGAUUAUGAAGAACACGAAGAACACCGCUCGGUUUCUCUCGGUAUUCGUGCAGAGAAACUGGUGAAAUGAUUUUACGGGUGAAAAUAAGCUCUAGAAAGGUCUAUUUAUAUUUACAAAUAAUUGGUACCCCUUUGGAUCGUUUAUGACAUGAAAA
rnacentral:lncRNA from 1 species